rnacentral:rRNA from 1 species
UGGGGAAUUUUGGACAAUGGGGGAAACCCUGAUCCAGCCAUCCCGCGUGUGCGAUGAAGGCCUUCGGGUUGUAAAGCACUUUUGGCAGGAAAGAAACGUCAUGGGUUAAUACCCCGUGAAACUGACGGUACCUGCAGAAUAAGCACCGGCUAACUACGUGCCAGCAGCCGCGGUAAUACGUAGGGUGCAAGCGUUAAUCGGAAUUACUGGGCGUAAAGCGUGCGCAGGCGGUUCGGAAAGAAAGAUGUGAAAUCCCAGAGCUCAACUUUGGAACUGCAUUUUUAACUGCCGGGCUAGAGUGUGUCAGAGGGGGGUGGAAUUCCGCGUGUAGCAGUGAAAUGCGUAGAUAUGCGGAGGAACACCGAUGGCGAAGGCAGCCUCCUGGGAUAACACUGACGCUCAUGCACGAAAGCGUGGGGAGCAAACAGG